UACGUAGGGGGCAAGCGUUGUCCGGAUUCAUUGGGCGUAAAGAGCGUGUAGGCGGCCAGGUAGGUCGGUUGUGAAAACUGGAGGCUCAACCUUCAGACGUCGACCGAAACCAUCUGGCUAGAGUCCGGGAGAGGAGAGUGGAAUUCCUGGUGUAGCGGUGAAAUGCGCAGAUAUCAGGAAGAACACCAAUUGCGAAGGCAGCUCGCUGGGACGUUACUGACGCUGAGACGCGAAAGCGUGGGGAGCAAACAGG
rnacentral:rRNA from 1 species